ACUAUAGAUCAUUUUCACUUAACAGUAAACACACAUAACCAAGAAUUAAAACAAAGGAAUUGAGGUUAGAUUUUGGUAUCGUGUCUGACAGCUCCUUUGUUUUUACUGGUAAUAUUGGUAUCGUGUCUGACGUUUACAAGGUCAUGAAAAUAAUCUAUGCUAAGCAGAGCUGACAUUAAA